GGGAGUUUGGAGAACACGAGCUCAUUGCAAACAUUGACCUAGAAGGUUGCGCUGGGAUUACAGCUCUGCAGCACGGAGGCAGAAACUGGCUGCUUUUAUUUGCACAUGCACUGAUAUUAAUUCUCUCUCUUCUCCCUCCAGGCUGGAGCUGCUCUUUUCUUCCCAGCAGUUGCUCUCGGUGUUUGUAGCUGGCUGCUGGCCUGCGGUCUCAGCUGGCCUCACGAUCCUCACCUGCAGAGCCCGGUGCCCCACACAGCAGUGCCACGCUUGGAAGGUUUCUGAAGGAGCAAAGCCCUGGGGCCCUGCAGCUGGAGCCCACACAGUGACAGCGCUGGGGGACAGCUUGGCCAGCUGCGGACCUCCUCAGCUGGUGGAAAACCUCACCAGCCGAAUGUCACCACUGAGACGCCUUCAUCCUCCUGCUUUCUAGGGUGAAAACAUCUUGAUAUUUCCUAGUUAAGGAGCCCUGACACAAGUGAAAUGACCAGACAUGUGAAUAGGAAACAUGGUGAUUAAGUACCUGAGAGAUGAGGAAUGCGAAGGAAAAGGCAUUCUGCAGCCAGAAAAAAUGAACUGUGUGAUUUCCCCCAGCACCUUGGGGGAGCGGGGAAGGGCUGGCCCUCUCCUGACUCAAGCCAAUUCAGGCACUUCGUGCAUGAAAACUGCAGCUAACUGAAUUCCAAGCUGGGGAAAAAAAAAUCCCCUCCUGUAAAUGAGAGAAUAAAUUGUUUCAUGAGUGCUGCAUAUGCGCUUGUGAGCUUCGGGGGCUGGGGAUGAUGGGAAGGAGAGAGCCCCGGAGUCCUCCCUUCUGCUCCGCACUUGCUGCUCCCCAUCUCGCCGUGCAGCCCCCCCAGCCCUGCAGAUGGAUGCUGCUCCACCCCUCUGGGGCUCUGCUGUGCUCCAUCCCCACCGCUGUCCCGGGACACCUCCACCACCGACAGCCCCUCAUGACCCUUCUGCCUUCGGGGAACCCCCGCUCCUGAUCCAAGAAGUGUAGCUCAGGAUGAUUUCCAGCAGAUCAGUUCCCCAGCCUGACUCACAUGGGACACAUGGACAAGCAGCUGGGACAGCAGUGCCACCGCAGCGCAUCUGAAAGAGGCCCUAAGGAGCUGCCCUGGGUCUGCUGCCCAAAGCACUGCGCUGAGCUUCCCUCCUGCCUUGCUGUGGGCAUCGCCUCUGGAAGCGUAAAUCACUGGUGUGCGUAGAGAGCGGGUGAGAAAGCACCUCAAGCUAACUUGCCCUCUUCCUUGGCACUAAGGGAAGUGAGAUUUGGAUUAGCCCCAACAUCACGUGCCCUUCCUGCCUGUUCUCUCCUGAGCACCAGAGGCCGGAUGGAUUUUGCGUUUCAGGUUGGAGCUGGCUUGGAGAUGACUGACUGCCCCAAAAGCAUCGUAUUUAGCACAGAGCACAGUGCCCACCCAGCUGUCCCCAUCCAAGCCCCGAGGCAGCAGUGACACUGCGGGAUGAGGCACAUCGCUGCUCCCAGAACUUGGGCUCUGGAGGAACUCGCUGGCCGCAUCCCUGCUGCAUCGUUACCACUGGAGGAAUCGGAAUAUUUUGGCUCCUAAUCUGCCCCCAGCCACCCCCGGCUCCUGGGUGUCUGGCCUUGGCUGCAAAGCUCCUGGUUAACAGCAGCUCUGGAAGGCUCCUGGGUGAGGAGGUCAGCACAGGCAUCUGGGGUCACUUCAGGCUUACCCUGCUCUUCAUUUAGGGGCUUGUGUCUGUGACUGUUGGCCAGGACCAGACUCCACCAGCACUGCCCAAGCUCGGUGGCUGUGACUCCAUCCCAAAGGUAGGACAAGGCAGGAGUGACUUUUCCCACCAGUAGCUUCAUCUCUGGGGUAGGGAGGUGGAACAUCUCCAGAUCUUGGACUUGGAGCCCAGCUUCCCAUCUGUUGGAGCACGCUGUGCCCUGCGGCAGCACUGCAGGUGUCCAGCGAUCCCAGAAGCAGUUGACACCAGCCAGGAGCUGGACUCCACUUUGGGUGAGAAGGCGUGUUAGCUGCCUGGCCAGUCUGAAAUCAAUUUGGGUCCAUCUUUGAACUUGAUUCCUCUCUAAGCCUGUUUUGGCUCUGUUUGUUUGGAACAGACCCGAUCCUAAAGGGAAAAGCAGACAAACCAGACUAAACAUCAAAUAUUAAAUAGCCACUGCUAAUAUGACAGCCAUUAAAUGCGAGCGCUCUGCUGCCUCCGCAGCAGCUGGGAGCCGGGCUGCACACCCACCCCUGCAUCCCGGCGCUACCAAGAGCAAAAUCAGGCUGCACGUGUAUAGAUCAAAUUGCUGGAAUGAAGAAGAAACCCAGUUUCCUGCUGCCAAUCUUUUUGGCAUUCAAUCUUCUGUGCCUGCUUUUAGCAGAGAUGAAAUUUCAGAAGAAGCCGGGCAAACAUCGACGCCCAAGGAUCCCCCAUGGAUCUGCUCGUGCCGGGGACAGCAAAGGAAUGAGAGACAUCCUGACCGCAUCCCUGAGCAGGAUCCCCCAUCACGUUGUCAGCGGGCUCUUGCAUUCAUGGCACAGUGUGGCCCAGGGUCCUUCUCUUUAUCUGUCAGCCUCCUCCUCUUUCCUUGACCCACUUCUUUAUCACAUUUUGAGCAUACCUUCCACUUGACUUAACACUAACAUAUGUACAGUCGACAUUUCAGUAAUGCCUUACAAAUUAGCUAGGGCUGAUUGAGAGAUUAUCUCAGCCUCUUCUCCCAUCCCUGACCCCCCCCCUGCACUGUGCAGACUGAAGCAGGGGCUCCAUUGUGCGGACGGGACCUGGGGCUGCCAGGAUCUCCCCAACCCACACUCACACCUCCUCAGUGAGUUUCUGGGAAGCAUCCUUUUAUCCUUCCCCUUCUUUCCUUUUCUCCCUAGCUGCAGGACUGGUUUGGGUGUUGCAGUGAGACUUGGCCACACAGUGUGACGCACAUCCAGCUGGGGCUUUAUGGGGAACCAGCACCCUGGCUUUGCACCCAGGGCCACUGCAGAGGCAACAGGGGCUUCCCAUGUCCCCCACCCCAGCAGAUGGAUCAGCCCAUCACUGGAGGUGGCUCUCGAGGGAAGGGUGACCUGUGCUGGGGCCAGAGUAGCUGAGACCCCCUGAGACCCACUGGACCCCUUCGCAGCCUGGGCUCCAGCAGUUUUCUGCCUGCGCUGGGUGUUUGCAGCUCAUAAACACAGACAUGGGAAGGCAGAUGAACUCCAUCGAAGGGCUUUCAUGAGAAAACAUUUAGCAGUUCAAGUGCCGGGUUGAUGGUUCUGCUUCCGCUGUCCCAGCAGUGCAACCUUCUGGAUGGAGAGGUUUAAAGUCCUCCUGGAGGCAUUCCCAUCAUCCAGCCAUGUGUUAUUAUGGACUUCUUUGUUCUGAGCUUUUACAUUUCCCACAGCCCUCAAGUUCCUGAACAGCGGCCACUUCAUACCCGCGAUGCCGGAGCCCUGUUUCUGUGUCACUUAGCACUGGGGAAUGCUCUGCGGGCACAUUGCUGUGCAAGAGACUGUGAAAAAUGAGGAUGUUUUAUGAUGUUCUGGUGCAGAGGGGCCCCGUGCUGAUCACACAGAGUUAUUAUGGCUGGAAGGAAGCUCUACCAGCUCACCUGCUCCAUUUUAUCCUCCGCAUCAGGCCGGUAAACCAUCCUUGUCAGAUGUGUACUUAGCCUUAUCCUUGAAUAUCUCUGGGGAAGGCAGUUCAGCAGCCUCCCUGAGCAGCGUGUUCCACCAUAUGAACUCCAGUUCGAGUUAUAAAGGUUUCACUAAUGUUUAACUUUAAUUUUCUCUACUGCAACAUAACACCAUUAUUGCGAGUUUGAGCUCCUUGAUGGCUCUUUUUCCCCUAAGCCCCCAUUUAGAAGAGAUGAGGAAGGAGCGAGAUGAACUGACUUACAGCCCCCUUACAACACAAUUCCAGCCAAUUCCGUUUAAUACAAGUUAAGGUAGGCAGAGUUUAUGGGAUCAUAUCAAGUUUUAAAUGGUCUUAGGCAAUGCUCAAAUGUCCUCUUGUGAAAUUAGCUGGGUGGUGGAGCUGCUGCCCUGGCUGCUGCUUCCACAUGGCUUACGGAGACGAGGGAUGGAGAGACCCCCACGGUGGGGGGAACACUAGCUGAGUGCAGAGGGGAGUGACGGUGGGGAUAUGAGGCCUCAGGAAGGUUUGAAGUUCUUAUCUUGGGGUCCCUCCCUUCCUCCCUGCAACAUUUUACAGCACCCCUACCCAUGGCAUCCACAAUCUCUGGGCCCAGGGACGAGGUGGAGUGGACGUGCAGGACACGAGCACACACCUCCUGCCCGGAGAGCAGGGCAUUCACCAGACCCCAUCUCCCUCCCCUCCAAGCCUCCACUCUCCACAGCCCUGCGCACCCCUGGGCAGUGGGGAAGGAGGGAUGGGACAGGCAGGGGCUGCUGGGGCAGAGGCAGCGGGGCUGGUGGCUGAGAUGCAUCUCCCACGGGACGGCAUCGCGGGUGUCAGAUGAGCUCCGAGAGCGUGUGGGCAACAAGCGUCAGCACACAGGCCAGAGACAGGAGGCUGGAAUGUAAAAAGGAAACGAGUACAUGGAAAUUCAAAACUCUCCCUAGAUGAAAAACAGAGAGGAGGGGGAUUUUUGGCAAAUGAAGUUGUAAAAAAUAAUUCCUGAUUUUCGUCCUUAUUUCUAACUUUGCGAAUCUCACUGAGCUCCAGCUGCACGGCUGUAUCUGAUGUCCCUGCUGAAUCCAGUGAGUGUUGGUCUGGGAGAAGCCACCGCUCUCCUGUGAGCACCGGCAGGAUCUGCUCCUCUUCCCACUCAGUCAGACCGCGCUGCUCAGUUGGAGCGCUGGAGGUCCAUGGGUCCUGCAGGAGGAAAGGUUUCACAUCCCUUUGGGGACCAAAGGGAUUCCUUAUCUGUUGUCACAUUGUCUUCCCAGCUUUUCUUUCUUCACCCUGGCCUCCUGCCACCCUCCCUCCAUGCCGGUAAUUCUUGUUCCCUGUUUGCUUUCAGCAUUGUGGUUGCUCCUCAGCUCCUUCAGCAGCAGUGGGUGGUCAAACCUCCCCCUUCUCCAGUCUCAUGGAUGUCACAGUUCCCCUCCAUCUGAUGGGCCAUGGGGAGAGCCUUGUCAUAGGGCUCAUCAGGAGGAGGGGAGAGCUUUGGGCCUCCCAAGGCUGGGCUGCAGCCACCUCCAUUGGGUCUCCGUGGCUGGCUGAAAUGAAUCCAAGCUGGCACGUCAGCUGGCAGCAGGAAUCUUUUGAUUUUUGAGUUUUGAUGCAGACUAAAAGAGAAUGACCAUGGGCAGCAUGGACAGUGGUGGCAGGAGAAGCUGGUCCUCAGCAGGGUGGGUGGAUGGGAUUACCUUCUGGGGCCACCCAAGGAGUGUGUUCCCAGGAGACCACGCCUUGGGCGAGCGGCUCACUCGUCCCAUUCAAGUCUGCUCUGGGGCUUUUCCUCACCCGUCAAUUGUGUGAUUUUAAUUAAUUAUUAAAGCCAUUAUUUUUUUAACUUUCAUCCGUUCUGGGCCCAUUUGCAAGCGAUUUACCUCAAGAAUUUGGCAGUCGAAAUUCAAGCAGAUUCCCUGGGUGAGUAAGUCACGCCGCACACUCUUGUGUUGCCUGCGGAUGAACACAACUUGUUGAGUGAGGUUGGUAGUGCCAGUAUUUGUGCUUAUCGACUGGGAAUGGGCUUCCUAGGGAUUGUCCGCAAUAUUUACUUAAACCGAGCUGUGUCUGCUACACAAGCACAGUUGUUACCCACAUCUUCAUGGCUCAUGAAGACAGAACAGGGCACGGGGCAGGGGCCACACUGGCUGCCUGAGCACCCCA